AUGGAUAUUCCAUAUGUGGGUACUAUGUCUUGGAUAGAAUCUAUGAACUUGACUGUUUCAUUGGAAGCCAUGCUUCGUCGACAGACAGAUUGCAGGGAUGAUAUCUAUCUCAUCUUCUUUCUUUCUAUUUUUUUCAUGUCCUUAAUCUUUCUUCUGUUUUAAGUUGAGUUUGGUCACAAAAUCAGAUUGCAACUAUCUCAUAGUUAUGCCUUUUUCCCCCC
rnacentral:lncRNA from 1 species